UACGAGGGGGGGCAAGCGUUGUUCGGAAUUAUUGGGCGUAAAGGGCACGUAGGCGGCUUUGUAAGUUAGAGGUGAAAGCCCGGGGCUCAACCCCGGAAUUGCCUUUAAGACUGCAUCGCUAGAAUUGUGGAGAGGUAAGUGGAAUUCCGAGUGUAGAGGUGAAAUUCGUAGAUAUUCGGAAGAACACCAGUGGCGAAGGCGACUUACUGGACACAUAUUGACGCUGAGGUGCGAAAGCGUGGGGGAGCAAACAGG
rnacentral:rRNA from 1 species